rnacentral:rRNA from 1 species
UUCUUUGAUGCUUAGCGGCGGACGGGUGAGUAACACGUAGGCAACCUGCCCUCAAGCUUGGGACAACUACCGGAAACGGUAGCUAAUACCGAAUACAUGAUUUGUUCGCCUGAACGAAUUUGGAAAGACGGAGCAAUCUGUCACUUGAGGAUGGGCCUGCGGCGCAUUAGCUAGUUGGUGAGGUAACGGCUCACCAAGGCGACGAUGCGUAGCCGACCUGAGAGGGUGAUCGGCCACACUGGGACUGAGACACGGCCCAGACUCC